rnacentral:rRNA from 1 species
GAUGAACGCUGGCGGCGUGCCUAAUACAUGCAAGUAGAACGCUGAAGGAGGAGCUUGCUCUUCUGGAUGAGUUGCGAACGGGUGAGUAACGCGUAGGUAACCUGCCUGGUAGCGGGGGAUAACUAUUGGAAACGAUAGCUAAUACCGCAUGACAACAGUUAUUGCAUGAUAACUGUUUAAAAGGGGCAACUGCUCCACUACCAGAUGGACCUGCGUUGUAUUAGCUAGUUGGUGAGGUAACGGCUCACCAAGGCGACGAUACAUAGCCGACCUGAGAGGGUGAUCGGCCACACUGGGAAUGAGACACGGCCCAGACUCCUACGGGAGGCAGCAGGAGGGAAUCUUCGGAAAUGGACGGAAGUCUGACCGAGAAACGCCGCGGGAGUGAAGAAGGUUUUCGGAUCGUAAAGCUCUGUUGUAAGAGAAGAACGAGUGUGAGAGUGGAAAGUUCACACUGUGACGGUAGCUUACCAGAAAGGGACGGCUAACUACGUG